GAUGCUCAAAGGUACGCCUAGCUAAGACUAUAGUAUGAAACGGAGGCAGGGAGAUAUCUCCAGCUUCUUCACUAAGAAGAAAAUUAGGGAGAGUGACCAGGAGGAGUGUGAGAAUCAGGGUGAAUGCAGCCAAGCUAACAUUGACCAAAGUUCCCCUGGCCUGAACAGCGCUCAUGGACUUCCAGAUGCACAAAGGGAGAGGACUGACAAUGGUGAUGAGUCUGACCAUGCUGAGUCAGAUGACAGCUGCAGCUACAGCAGUUGCAGCAGCUCCAGUAGCAACAGGAACCCCCCAGUUCAUCCAACCUUUGCUACGCCAAAAGGUCCCCAAGACAUUUCUCAAACCAGAGCUGCAGGUCCUGCACAACCUGUCCUGAAGACCUUCCCUUGCACCCAGCACGGACAUGUUAGGACCAGAGCGUUCAGGGCCUCAUGUUUGUAAGGUUGUUCAGCAGCAAACACGGCAAUCGCAAAAUACAGUUAUUUUGAAGUGUCAGCACCUUCAAAUGAGUGAUACAUUGAGUGGUACUUACUCCAUGCUGACGAAUGACUUUGUUACCAAGUUGUGUAAAUUCACAAGCUCCAUAUCUUGGAGCCAUUGUUUUUGUUGAAAAAAAUAUUUGCGGCUCCACUCAGAAUUAAUCUGUCAUAUCUAGUGAUACCAAUUGUGAUCAGCUCUGAGAUUUCCUGCAUAAACAUCAAUGAAUGGUGGUCGAUGCUGUGAUGGAAUUUUCUGUCACUUGACUACACCUAGUGGGGGCCUCAGGGUCAUGGUCUGGCAAAGGGGUCUUCUUCAGGCCUAUAGGACCCAUCCAGGACAGUGUGUCAGACAAAUCCAUGCUAGAAUGCUCUGCAGCUGAUGUAAUCCUGUGUAUAAAAAUCUAUCAGCACCUUGCACAGUAGCUGCUACAGAGUCACUGAAUUGCUCUUUCUCACUUAUGAGAAGCAGCAUUUCAAUCUUCUUUUCAAACUGUGCAGUUAUCUCACUCAGUCUCUUGUAGUGUCAGAUCUGAGGGUUACAAGACAAGAUUGUGCCACUCCACUCUGUCCACUCUGUGCUCACUCUGUGCUCAGGGGCAUGGGGGAGACAGGCACAUGAAGAGGAUCUCUGUACAUGUUGUCUACUGGAGUCAAACUUACUCUUAACUCUGUAUACUUAAGAAAUCACAUCUCUGUUUAUUUAGUGAAAUCUCUGUUUAUUUAGUGAAAUCUCUGUUUACUUAGUGAGUCUUAUGUCUGUUUAGUUCGUACUAUCUCUG